CUGUACUCUUGUGAAAUUAACUGCAUAAAGAUCUUUAUUUGUGGUUGCUCACUGAGGUUGUAUCUACAGGAAGAUAAAAACGACACCAGCUGCCACCCUGACAAACUAGUGACAAUAAAUACCUGAGAUAUAGGCCUUUUUCCUCACUAUACACACGUUUUGUCAGCCACUGCCCAAAAGCUACUAUACUAUUUAGGUCUGAAGCAAUGUACUUCAUUCACUGUUUCCUUUCUCUCUUUCUACAGAAGAGUUUAAUUUGUUGUCAGGAGGGGAGCUGAAAAAGUUUUGGAUACAAUAGGCUGCUGGUGUAAAAAAAGGAGCAGGUGGGGGCUCAAGGAAUUUUCAAGGGCUAAAUUAGCUGCAAGCAGACUCCCCAGUCAUUUUCAGAACAACAGAAAUUUUCUACCUAUCCAACCUGGCAUCUAUAGUGAGCCUCUCCCCAUGGUUAGUAACGGAAAACUAUAUGAGUGAAUGACAAUGACCACUUAAAUUACAAACUCUGUUAUAAUUGUUCUUGAAUUAAUAUUUCUAACAACUUUUUUCUUCCAUUGGAGGGAUUUAUAGAUUAAUUCUUCCUACCUGUGUAAAGACAUAUAUUUUUAAAAAUAAUAAAGCUGUGCAAAAAUUA